CGUCAGUAUUCUAGACAGACGUGGGCUGAGAUUAAGGCUGAGGAUCUCGUUUCUCAAUGGUUGCGCAGGAGUUGCACAAUGGACAUUGUGUGCGCAUAACCAUCAACACGUGACCAUUGUUUCGCGAAGGCCCAAGUGGAGCAAGCAUGUCGCCAUCGGAGAAACCAGUAUCGUUUUUGAAUAAAUAAAAAUGAGCCAUUGUAUUCUCAGCACAUUUAGCGUUUGUAUAAAAUGAUACAUAUACUGGAGGAACUAGGGAAACAAGCGAAAGUAUAGAGAACAAUAUUAUGUAAAUCAAAUUGCCCCGACUACUUAUACUGCAACAUAAAAAAUACUAAGAAAACAAACAUAUAGCAGGAUGCACGGUACGAUGGAGCGAAACGGUUGCGCGCCGUAGCACGGAUAUAUCUCGAACGUUUACAACAUUUCAGAGCAAUUCCAUGAACCGCUUCCGCCGUGCUCCUUCCGUCUCGGGUUGCUGGUUGCAGAAAUUCCUAAGCCGGCCUCGGGAGCCGACCCAAGAAUGCAGACGAGGCUGAUGCCUUGAUAGCUUAAUGUGCACUAAAGUUACACUGUUAACGACAUUCCUCGCUGUAUCAUUAUCAUUGUUGGCUGUUCCCUUAUAUUAAUUUGAAAGCGAGUAUCAAGCUCAUUACCAAGCCUCCGCAGCUGUUUAUCGACUAGUUUCGAUUAAGCUCACAUAAAAAUGUAACAUUUCAGACUGUUUAAAAACAAUAAAAAUGAUUUUA